AAAGGUUCAGAGAAGUUCAAUUCAGAGAUACAACAUUUCAGAGUUUGGAGAUCAAGCAGCUAAGAUGAAAGGCUUUUUAUUAAUUAUAUUGCUAGCAGUUACCUAUGGGUAUGCAACUGUAGAUGGCGAAGACCUCCCUGAAGCUCCGUUAGGUGGACCAGAAGGAAUAAGUACUCUUAGCGGAUCCUUAUCCCUAGGUGACACGAAUGGUAGAAUGUUGUCUAGCACUUCUCACACAGUCGGUUCAUCAAUUAAUAUAAUACACACACAAGAAGUUUUAGUACGGCUGGUUGAGUACGCCAACAUUACUGGCAUUCGGGUUACUCCCACAAAUAACAUGAAUGCAGUACCGUCCCUCAUAAACGGUGGUCUAGGACACAAUUACGUCAACCUACGUUUUACUUCUCAGUUAAGCUUGGGUUACGGAUACAGAAUUAUGGUAUACGGUUCGUUUGUUUGCUAGUAUUAAAGAUACUAAUCAGUAAAUAAAGGCCUCUAAGU